UAACACAUGCAAGUCGAGCGGAAACGANUUAUCUGAACCUUCGGGGAACGAUAACGGCGUCGAGCGGCGGACGGGUGAGUAAAUUGCCUUGAUGUGGGGGAUAACCAUUGGAAACGAUGGCUAAUACCGCAUAAUGCCUACGGGCCAAAGAGGGGGACCUUCGGGCCUCUCGCGUCAAGAUAUGCCUAGGUGGGAUUAGCUAGUUGGUGAGGUAAUGGCUCACCAAGGCGACGAUCCCUAGCUGGUCUGAGAGGAUGAUCAGCCACACUGGAACUGAGACACGGUCCAGACUCCUACGGGAGGCAGCAGUGGGGAAUAUUGCACAAUGGGCGAAAGCCUGAUGCANCCAUGCCGCGUGUAUGAANAAGGCCUUCGGGUUGUAAAGUAACUUUCAGUUUGUGAGGAAUGGGGNUUGUCGUUAAUAGCGGCAUCUCUUGACGUUAGCAACAGAAGAANCACCGGCUAACUCCGUGCCNUCANCCGUGGUAAUACCCGA
rnacentral:rRNA from 1 species